UACGUAGGGUGCGAGCGUUGUCCGGAAUUACUGGGCGUAAAGAGUUCGUAGGCGGUUUGUCGCGUCGUUUGUGAAAACCCGGGGCUCAACUUCGGGCUUGCAGGCGAUACGGGCAGACUUGAGUGUUUCAGGGGAGACUGGAAUUCCUGGUGUAGCGGUGAAAUGCGCAGAUAUCAGGAGGAACACCGGUGGCGAAGGCGGGUCUCUGGGAAAACAACUGACGCUGAGGAACGAAAGCGUGGGUAGCAAACAGG
rnacentral:rRNA from 1 species